AACAAGGCCACUUCACCAUCCCUGCAGUGAUUCCUCAGUAAUUCACCACCAGAAGCACCAUCACCUUCCUUCUGUGUCCCUCCACAAAGCCAGUUGGGACUUCUAGAUAUUUUUGAAGGCAUAUUGAACUAGAUGGUGUUCUAGGGUACUAAUUUCAAGCUGUUGUUCUCCUAACCAUGCCACCAUAGCAGCAAUUUUAUUCUGAUGCAUAGAUUUGUAUAGAGAGGGUAAGAAAUUAUUCCAUGAAGUGAUCCCUUCUCAGAAUUUUAAAUAAGAAAUGGAAAAACUUUCUGUACUCUCAGAGUUUUCAUAAUUUCCCCUGGGGUAGGAGGGCAGGUGCAGAAGGGAACGGAACAAAGAUAAAGAAACAGCCACGUGGACGUGUGGUGGAAGAUCGUUUGAAGGAGGAGAAGAGCAAGUCAAAGGCCCUGAGGCAAGAGCACACUGGGCAUGUUCAAGCAUCGGGUGCUAUGGGAUACCUGCAUUUCACUGUACAACCUUGGACUCUCCCUCCCUCCAUGAGCAAUAGGAGAACUCCUAGGAACAAGUCUAACACUAGGACUUCCAGCAAUCUUGAGACUAAAGCCAGAGGUCACGUGAACUACAUAAACUAAAUUCCUCCAAAUACAAACCAAGCUUCCCACCCCAACUCUCCUUAGCUGAAAGGGUGCUCACAGGUACUCCAACACCUCCUGAAGUGUGUUGGAAGUGUGCCCAAGUGGAAAGCAUCAAUAUACUUCAUCAAUUGCUAAGAAGAUAUCAUAUUGUAAUGUUAUUAGUAAUUCAAUUAUUAAAAUGUAUUAGUGUUA
rnacentral:lncRNA from 1 species